AUUGAACGCUGGCGGCAGGCCUAACACAUGCAAGUCGAGCGGCAGCGGGAAAGUAGCUUGCUACUUUUGCCGGCGAGCGGCGGACGGGUGAGUAGUGCCUGGGAAAUUGCCCAGUCGAGGGGGAUAACAGUUGGAAACGACUGCUAAUACCGCAUACGCCCUACGGGGGAAAGCAGGGGACCUUCGGGCCUUGCGCGAUUGGAUAUGCCCAGGUGGGAUUAGCUAGUUGGUGAGGUAAUGGCUCACCAAGGCGACGAUCCCUAGCUGGUCUGAGAAGAUGAUCAGCCACACUGGAACUGAUACACGGUCCAGACGCCUGCGGAAGGCAGCAGUGGGGAAUAUUGCACAAUGGGGGAAACCCUGAUGCAGCCAUGCCGCGUGUGUGAAGAAGGCCUUCGGGUUGUAAAGCACUUUCAGCGAGGAGGAAAGGUUGAUGCCUAAUACGUAUCAACUGUGACGUUACUCGCAGAAGAAGCACCGGCUAACUCCGAGCCAGCAGCCGCCGUAAUAC
rnacentral:rRNA from 1 species